rnacentral:tRNA from 1 species
AGGAUAAUAGUUAAUUUAUAACAUUUAAUUUGCAUUUAAAAAAUAUUGAAAAGCCAAUUUAUCUU